GACGUAGGUGACGAGCGUUAUCCGGAUUUACUGGGCGUAAAGAGCUUGUAGGUGGCUCUGUAAGUUGGGCGUGAAAGCCCCGGGCUUAACUCGGGGAGGUUGCUCAAUACUGCGGGGCUAGAGGGUGUCAGAGGGAAGUGGAAUUCCUGGUGUAGCAGUGAAACGCGUAGAUAUCAGGAGGAACACCCGUGGCGAAGGCGGCUUCCUGGGGCAUUCCUGACACUGAGAAGCGAAAGCUAGGGGAGCGAACGGG
rnacentral:rRNA from 1 species